UGCAGUCGAGCGGUAGAGAGAAGCUUGCUUCUCUUGAGAGCGGCGGACGGGUGAGUAAAGCCUAGGAAUCUGCCUGGUAGUGGGGGAUAACGUUCGGAAACGGACGCUAAUACCGCAUACGUCCUACGGGAGAAAGCAGGGGACCUUCGGGCCUUGCGCUAUCAGAUGAGCCUAGGUCGGAUUAGCUAGUUGGUGAGGUAAUGGCUCACCAAGGCGACGAUCCGUAACUGGUCUGAGAGGAUGAUCAGUCACACUGGAACUGAGACACGGUCCAGACUCCUACGGGAGGCAGCAGUGGGGAAUAUUGGACAAUGGGCGAAAGCCUGAUCCAGCCAUGCCGCGUGUGUGAAGAAGGUCUUCGGAUUGUAAAGCACUUUAAGUUGGGAGGAAGGGCAUUAACCUAAUACGUUAGUGUUUUGACGUUACCGACAGAAUAAGCACCGGCUAACUCUGUGCCAGCAGCCGCGGUAAUACAGAGGGUGCAAGCGUUAAUCGGAAUUACUGGGCGUAAAGCGCGCGUAGGUGGUUUGUUAAGUUGGAUGUGAAAUCCCCGGGCUCAACCUGGGAACUGCAUUCAAAACUGACUGACUAGAGUAUGGUAGAGGGUGGUGGAAUUUCCUGUGUAGCGGUG
rnacentral:rRNA from 1 species